rnacentral:rRNA from 1 species
AACGCGAAGAACCUUACCUGGGCUCGAACGGCUUAAGAACAUCUUUGGAAACAUUGACUUCUCGCAAGAGACUUGAGUCGAGGUGCUGCAUGGCUGUCGUCAGCUCGUGUCGUGAGAUGUUGGGUUAAGUCCCGCAACGAGCGCAACCCUUGUCCUGUGUUGCCACUCCCGUAAGGGAAGCACUCUCAGGAGACCGCCAGCGAUAAGUUGGAGGAAGGUGGGGAUGAUGUCAAGUCAUCAUGGCCUUUAUGUCCAGGGCUACACACGUGCUACAAUGGGCGGUACAAAGCGCUGCAAACCCGCGAGGGGGAGCCAAUCGCAAAAAACCGUCCUCAGUUCGGAUCGCAGGCUGCAACUCGCCUGCGUGAAGCUGGAAUCGCUAGUAAUGGCAUAUCAGAACGAUGCCGUGAAUACGUUCCCGGGCCUUGUACACACCGGCUAC